rnacentral:lncRNA from 1 species
UAACUACUACACCACCGUUUCAGUCAUUAACAUUAUCAACAUCUCCUCUAACAAAAACCAAAUGUUAAUUUUAUAACUCAAUUAAUUUCAUCAAUAACCCACAUCAAUUGCACGAAGAAAAAAAAUACCCACUGGAUAUCAAUCGCAUAAUCCAGUUAAAUUCAUCAAUAACCUAUAAUUUCACAGAGAUAAGAUACCCGUCAAAAGGCAGUAAUAUUAGUCAGAAUGGAAAUUAGUGGGCAAAAAACAUAUGAGCAAGAGAGGGUGAGGUUGUUAAUGCUCUCAAAUCAUCCAAUGGAGAACCUGCAAAAGCAACAUCAAUAACAACUAAUCGCGACAGCAAUCGAUGUUGUUGCCAUCAUCCCCAUUGUCACUUAAUACUGCUUCAACUGUCAUCAUCGCCCACUGUCACCGCCUCAGCCAUCGUUGCCCACUGUUGCUACCUUAGCCAUCGUUGCCCACUGUCGUCUCCACAAACAUCCUUUUCUACCUCACCGUUGCCCACUACUAUUGGUUUACUUCUCUCUUUUUGGUUUGUUUCGGUGGGUUGGGUAGAAUUUAUUUAUUCAAAUUUGAUUUGAAUUUGUUAAGUUAAAGAUUUGAGUGGGUAGGAUAUUUACUGG